GGCUCUUUGGAAAAAAAGUAUAAAGAGUCGGACCUGCCCAGUGAAAUUUCAACGGCCGCGGUACUCUGACCGUGCAAAGGUAGCAUAAUCACUUGCCUUAUAAUUGAAGGCUGGUAUGAACGGUUUGACGAGGGCAUAACUGUCUCCUUUCUAAUUAUUAGAAUUUGACCUGUGGGUGAAGAGGCCCGCAUUAGACUGAAGGACGAGAAGACCCUGUCGAGCUUUAGAAGAAAGUGGGUGAAGAUAUAAUAAUAAAUAUGUAGCUACUAUCAUUCAUUGGUUGGGGCGACAAGAGAACAAUAAAAGCUUCUCUUAACUAAUAAACAUAUGUGUAAGGAUCCAGUAUUAUAGCUGACUAAAAAAAUUAGUUACCGCAGGGAUAACAGCAUAAUCUCCUUUGAGAGACCUAAUCGAAAAGGGGGGUUGUGACCUCGAUGUUGGACUAGGGUAUCCCGAAGGUGCAGAAGCCUUCGACGGUUGGUCUGUUCGACCAUUAAAACCCU
rnacentral:rRNA from 1 species